rnacentral:rRNA from 1 species
GAUGAACGCUGGCGGCGUGCCUAAUACAUGCAAGUCGAGCGAACAGACGAGGAGCUUGCUCCUCUGACGUUAGCGGCGGACGGGUGAGUAACGCGUGGAUAACCUCCCUAUAAGACGGGGAUAACUUGGGGAAACCGGCUCUAAUACCGGAGAAGAUAUUGAACCGCAUUGUGCAAUGGUGAAAGACGGUGUUGCGGGCUCGUAUAGAGGGAUCCGCGCCGCAUUAGCUAGUUGGGAAGGUAACGGCUUACCAAGGCAACGAGGCGUAGCCGACCUGAGGGGGUGAUAGGCGACACUGGAGCGGGGCCAGGGACAAGGGUACUGCGGUACGCAGCAGUAGGCAACCUGCCGCAAUAGGCGAAAGCCUGACGGAGCAACGCGGCGUGAGUGAUGAAGGUCUUCGGAUCGUAAAGCUCUGUUAUGAGGGAAGAACAACUGUGUAAGUAACUAUGGCGGUAUUGACGGUAACUAAUAAGAAAGCAACGGCUAACUACGUG